UACAGAGGGUGCGAGCGUUGUCCGGAAUCACUGGGCGUAAAGGGCGCGUAGGUGGCGACCCAAGCCGAUGGUGAAAGCUCGCCGCUCAACGGCGAGUCGGCCACUGAUACUGGGUUGCUGGAGCACUGUAGAGGCAGAUGGAAUUCCGGGUGUAGCGGUGGAAUGCGUAGAGAUCCGGAAGAACACCGGUGGCGAAGGCGGUGGUCUGGGCCUGAACUGACGCUGAGGAGCGAAAGCCAGGGGAGCAAACGGG
rnacentral:rRNA from 1 species